AGAGUUUGAUUCUGGCUCAGGAUGAACGCUGGCGGCGUGCCUAACACAUGCAAGUCGAACGGAACUAUUUUGGAAACUCCUUCGGGAGCGGAAUCUUUAGUUUAGUGGCGGACGGGUGAGUAACGCGUGAGCAAUCUGCCUUUAAGAGGGGGAUAACAGUCGGAAACGGCUGCUAAUACCGCAUAAAGCAAUGAAUUCGCAUGUUUUCAUUGCCAAAGGAGCAAUCCGCUUUUAGAUGAGCUCGCGUCUGAUUAGCUAGUUGGCGGGGUAACGGCCCACCAAGGCGACGAUCAGUAGCCGGACUGAGAGGUUGAACGGCCACAUUGGGACUGAGACACGGCCCAG
rnacentral:rRNA from 1 species